CCUUGGCUCAAACAAUCCUGCCUUAGCCUCUUGAGUAGCGGGGACUGCAGGUGUGUACCACCACUCCUGGCUAAUACUGUUUUAAAAUUCUUUUUGUAGAGAUGGAGUCUUGCUAUAUGGCCCAGCUGGUAAUAUCUAGAUUCUUGAGUCCCUCCCUGGCUCAUCCCUGGGAGCAGCACUGAACCCCAUGUCUGACACCUGUCCGGAAAUGGAGCCUGCACAUUGACCCUAGGUGUUUGCAGCUUGGUCCAGGAGGCCAGCAGGACCAGACAGAAGACUACAGCAACACGUGGGGAUGGCUGUUCCACAGGCAGAAAUGGGCAGCCGGAAGAAGUCUGGGCAGCCAGCCACCCAGCUCCUUCCACAUCGUGGCCCUAGAACGGAGUCUUGAAGAAUAAGAAGCCACAGCUUGUCAGGGAAUCAGGCUGGAAAAACGUCACGAGACCCGAGACCUACGGGAAUCCACUUCCUUCAGCCUCCCCCUUCUGGCCCAGAGGCACACUGCAGCUAUGUUGCUUUUUUUUUUCAAUCCUCGAGAUAGGAAAUGCAAAACAAAAACAAAAACAAAACCCCAUUACCUUUGGGGUGGAGCCAGGCGGCUGCCUGCAAAUGAACCUUAUUAGGGAAGCACUUGGCAGAAUCAGAAAGAACACCCAACACAGUGUGUGCUGUGUGGCAAAAGAAGAAAGUGCAAAGGAGUCCACUUUCUCAGAGGUCUAGCAGGUACCUUGCUUUAACCUUGCUGGUCAAGACGACAGAUCAUUUACAUUAACGGGAGCAUGAUGGGGAAAUGCUCCAGGUCUAAGCUGGAAGUGCCAGGUGAUUUGGGCAGCUGAUAAUGAGGACCUGAAGCAAAAACCAAACAGCCAACACACUCAUCUGGAAGGCAUGAGGUUUCAAGGAAACAUGUUAAAACCACAUUGGUCCCUGUGUGGUACCCAAGAGAUGUUUGGUCAUACUGAAUUUUAAAAAAUUGUCUUCACAUUCUUCCCAGUUGCUUGCUAAUAAAUGUUCUGUUCAUUCAUAGAUUC
rnacentral:lncRNA from 1 species